GGCGGACGGGUGAGUAAUACAUAGGAAUCUGCCUAGUAGUGGGGGACAACCUGGGGAAACCCAGGCUAAUACCGCAUACGCCCUUCGGGGGAAAGGCUUCGGCCGCUAUUAGAUGAGCCUAUGUCUGAUUAGCUUGUUGGUGGGGUAAUGGCCUACCAAGGCGACGAUCAGUAGCUGGUCUGAGAGGACGAUCAGCCACACUGGGACUGAGACACGGCCCAGACUCCUACGGGAGGCAGCAGUGGGGAAUAUUGGACAAUGGGCGAAAGCCUGAUCCAGCAAUGCCGCGUGUGUGAAGAAGGCCUGCGGGUUGUAAAGCACUUUCAGUAGGGAAGAUAAUGACGGUACCUACAGAGGAAGCACCGGCUAACUCUGUGCCAGCAGCCGCGGUAAUACAGAGGGUGCAAGCGUCAAUCGGAAUUACUGGGCGUAAAGCGCGCGUAGGCGGUUUGUUAAGUCGGAUGUGAAAGCCCCGGGCUCAACCUGGGAACUGCAUUCGAUACUGGCAUGCUAGAGUAUGGUAGAGGGUAGUG
rnacentral:rRNA from 1 species